CCUACGGGAGGCAGCAGUGGGGAAUAUUGGGCAAUGGGCGCAAGCCUGACCCAGCAAUGCCGCGUGAAGGAAGAAGGCUUUCGGGUUGUAAACUUCUUUGACAGGGGAAGAGCAGAAGACGGUACACGGAAAACAAGCCAAGGCUAACUACGGGCCAGCAGCCGCGGUAAUACGUCGGUGGCAAGCGGUGUCCGUAUUUACAGGGUGUAAAGGGCGGGUAGCCGGGAAGGCAAGUCAGAUGUGAAAUCUGGAGGCUCAACCUCCAAAUUGCAUUUGAAACUGUUUUUCUUGAGUACUGGAGAGGCAGCCGGAAUUCCUUUUGUAGCGGUGACAUGCGUAGAUAUCAGG
rnacentral:rRNA from 1 species